rnacentral:tRNA from 2 species
GGAGAAGUAGCUCAGCUUGGUAGAGCACUACAUUUGAAAUUUGUAGUGGUCGCAGGUUCAAAUCCUGUCUUCUUCACCA